UCUAAGUCGCCACUCCGGCAACUCCAUUUCUCUUCCCGACCAAGAGGAAAGAAGAGAUGGACCGCAGCAAGGGAGAGGGACCGGCGAUCGGAAUCGAUCUCGGCACCACCUACUGUUGCGUCGAAGUGUAGCGGCACGAUCGCGUUCAGAUCAUCCUGAACGACCAAGGCAACCGUAUGACGCCGUCUUAUGUCGCUUUCACCGACGCUGGACGCUUAAUCGGUGACGCCGCCAGCAACCAGGCCGCCAGGAACCCCACCAACACCGUCUUCCAUGCAAAGAGGUUGAUUGGUAGAAGAUUCAGUGAUGCAUCUGUAAAUUACAGAGUACCAAUUUUAUUUUGGUCACUGCAUAUAUAAUUAUAUUCGUGUUUUGUUA